GAACGCACAUUGCGCCUUCUGGUAUUCCGGGAGGCAUGCCUGUCCGAACGUCAUCAAACCUCUCGCCAUGUGCUGUUGCUUGCAACGGUACGAAGGCGGCCCAUGGGAGAUGGAGGCCUCGCGGCCGCCCCUCCCGAAAUGCACUGGCAGACACCUGUUGGCCGAAUUGUGAUAAGUCUUUAUAACGAUUCCAAGCCUUCUUGUGGUCCCGCCGUCAACCGCACCUGCGCUCCACGGCGCACGCGUGCACAUCAACUCUUUUGACUUCGGAUCAGGUAGGGAUACCCGCUGAACUUAAG
rnacentral:misc_RNA from 1 species